AAAAACAUGUGUUGAUAUGUUAAAUUUUUGAAGCAAAAACCAGCAAAAAAAAGAGGAGGGAAGAUGAAGGAGAAGAGAAGCUCGCAUGUUGCUCCUCCAUUCCUUCUUUUUAUUUAUUUCAUUAUUUGGAUUAAUAAACAUUUAGUGAUAUAAUUAAUUACAUACUCUUCUGAUAUUACACAAAGAAAGUGAAGGCAGUAGGAUUUGUCUACAGAUGAAGAGAGGUGUCAAUAAGGUCUGAGUUGUCAAAACUUUUUGCAGAAGCACUUGCUGCGGCAGAAGCUGCUUUUGUGUUGUUGGGCCAUGAGUUUGUGGAAUAUGGCUGCAAAUUAAGCCCGAGAGAGAGCGAGUGUUCUGCAGGAGCACUUGGCCUAACCGGAACGAUGAUAUCGGAUUCGAAUGAGAACUUUGCAGGCUGAUGAUCAAAAUGCCUUGUUGUACAAACAACCCGUUGGUGUUCAGUCUCUGAUAACUUCUUCAGAAGCUGCUGCUCCUCCCUCCUCUCCUUCACUUUCUGCAGCUGCCUGAACCUUUCUUGCAGUAGAGCAAUGGAGGAAACUGAAACCAAGGUUGGAUCAGAAGCACUUUGCCUGCCCAUUGAAAAGCACCUUUUGAGCUUUUGAUCUCUGAAGCUUUGUAGGUGUAGGGUUUGGUGGUUUUUUUCUUUUUUUUUGGUUUUGGCUAUAAUUGGUGCUGAAGGGCCAAAACGCAAUGAAUGUGUUUAUAUAGCAGAUGGAUUAUAUAUAUGAAAAUUGGGUUUUUUUUUAUUUGAAUUUUAAGACUUUGGAUGAUGUAAUAUAAAUAAGAAUCGGCUGCUUUUCUGCAAAAAUCCAAUGGGAAAGGUUUAAGAUACUGGUCUAGAGAAGGCUGGGUUGGUGGAAGGGUAGGCAAACGCACUUUUGGAAAAGCUAGAGUGCAAGAAAAUAGUCCAAAAUCAAAUGGAAGUAAGCAUUUGGAAGGGAGUUUUGGAGAAUCCACUGUUAGGUCAUGCUUUGUGUCCUCUUGUCUUUUAAGACACUGUUGGCACCGAUGACUCCGAUUUUAUCUCUGGCUUGCAUUUGGGGAAAGAUUGAUUCUUUUUUGUACCUGCUUGUUUUAAAAAUUCAGCAUUUUAAAUUUUUAUUAGGGUUGCCACUAAUUUAUGAUUUAGUGUUAUUACUCUUCACUUGUAAGAGAGACUCGAUUUACUUGAAUGACGAGUUUAUACAUAUUAUAGAUGACUCAUUGUGUGGAGUAUUCUCCAAAUUAUACUGGUACUACUGUAUAGUGAUAUUCAUCUCUAAAGAAAUCUCAAGUUAACUCAUUUAGAUGACGAAUUUGAUUCUAAGUUAUUUUGGCUAACUCAUUACGUGGGUAAUUUCCCGAAUGUCUACCCCUUAAAAUAUAAUUUCGUUUCAUAAAAAAACUGUUUUUGGUGGGGUUUUGAAGGUGAAGUUCAUGGAAUGAAGAUGGGGAUGUAUAUAAAAGACAAUGAUUAGAAGGAAUAUGUAUAUUUGGAGUCAUGGUGUUUUUGAUGGGGACCCAUUUCAUGCACUUUGUAUAUGCAGAUGAGGAGGGCUGGCAUUCACUAUAUAAUUAACAAAGUUCUAAAUCAAGGUUUACAUUUCUGUUUGUCUUUUAUAUUUAUGGUCAAAUAUUUCACCGAAAUUGAAAGAAGUAAUUUGGUCAGUGAAGAGAUUUUUUAGUGCAUCGGUAACAUGAUUUGGUACACCUUAUAUAGUAAUAAAAUUAGUUUGAAUCUUAAAAAAGAAUUUUCAACCAAUAUAGUAUGACACUUAGUGUCGGACCAUGUUCCCGGCACAACAAAAAAUUUCUCUAGUCCGUGUUAUAAUAUUAAUCACAUUCUUGCUUCUUUAUAGAGUCUAUGGGACUACGAGACCAUAUAGGUCAUAAGUUCGGAUUUAUACAAUCUUAUAUUUAUCUUUCUCAACACAUAAUCGGUUGUGUUAAUCUCUCUUAUUAUGUGACUAAUCACGUAAUGAGGAGGUCAUCCAAAAAAAAAAAAAAAUCACAUGAUGAAGAGUAUGUUUAAACUAAACUUAAAUAUAAACACGUAAUUGUGUAUAACGGGUGACACCUAAAAAUCUCUCGAGAUAUGGGUAUGUUUGAAGAGGAUAUGAAAAUCAGGAAAGUUUCGCUUCUAGCAUUUACCCUUGCUAGAUUUGGAGGAAUCUGGAGAAUUUGUAUUGUAAAAACACUAGCAGGUUGCAUGUGAUAGAGAAAACAGGUACUAAAAAUACUUUUUGGUCCAGCACCAAAACUAACCAAACAGGUACUAAAAGUGAUAAUUUCACUCUUUUACUAUCGCUAUACGUUUUUGUUUAACCAUAUUUGUUGUUUAUGUUUGAUUUAUUUAGUCCAAUAAUCAGAAAUAAGAAUGGUGCAUAGGAGAAAAAUAAUGUGCAGUUAUCAUCUUUCUAAUUUUAAACUAAACUGCGAGAAAGAAUAUUUGAACUUGAAUGUAGAUAAUAAAACACGUUGCUUUAACCAACUUGACUACACUCGAGUUUGCAAAGAUUAUAAUAGGUUUGAUUGUAUAGUUUCAAAAGGUAAAAACAAAGUUGAGAGAUGCUUGUGUUGUAGGAAAUGAUGAAUAGUGUAGUGUGGGUGGUUAUGUUGCUUGGGAUUUAAGGUUUGGUAGUGCAUGGAAUAAUUGAGAUUGAAAAGAUCCAAGCCAUAUAAAUGGAGGACAUGUGGGGGUCCAAAGCCAAAGCAAACCUCAGGGAUUUUGAUUUCCGUGAAGAAUCAACUUUUGCCAUAGAGGGGAUGCCCUUCUUUGUUUUCUUCCCUUGAAACAACCAAGCACUUGAACCCAAAAACUAACUAAUCAUUAUUAUUCUUCGUUUCGAGAGACUUUUUAAUAUGUUCAGAACACAAGCAAUACAUCGUAUGUUCUUAAACAAGUAGAGGGAAGUUAUUGUGUUCCAACACUUGUAUAAUGAUAUAUGAUAUAUGUAUCUAUGUUCUGGACAUCCUGAAAAAUCUAUCCUUCCUUUUAUUGAGAAAAAAAUUAAUUCAAGUAUAUCACAAUUCUUUCAUGAAAGAUGGGUUUCUUAAAUUAAUGACACGAUUAUUUACUAGGAAUUUGAAUUAAUCUGAUUUUGAGUAAAAUAUAGAUAUUGAAAUUAUAUACUAUUUGGUCCAGCACCAAAACUAACUAAACAUGUGGAAUAUAAGGCUUCUAUUAUUGCGAAAAAUAAUAGGUUUUUAAUUCAAGUGAUAUUUUAACUUAAUUUAAGAAAAGUGAUCAUUUCACUCUUUUACUAUCACUAUACGUUUUUGUUUAACCAUAUUUGUUAUUUAUGUUUAAUUUAUUCAGUUCAAAUAGCCAGAAAUAAGAAUGGUGUGUAGAAGGAGAAAAAUGAUGUGCGGUUAUCAUCUUUCUGAUUUAAAUUAAAUUGCGAGAAAGAAGAUUUAAAUUUAAAUGUAGAUAAUAAAACACACUACUUUAGCCAACUUAACUACGCUCAAGUUUGGAAAGAUUGUAAUAGGUUUGAUUGUGUAGUUUCAAAAGGAAAAAACAAAGUUGAGAAAGGCUUGCGUUUGUAGGAAAUGAUAAGAAUAGUGUAGUGUGGGUGGUUAUGUCGCUUUGGGAUUGAAGGUUUAUUAAUGUAUGGAAUAAUUGAGAUUGAAAAGAUCAAGUCUCUUUUUACCAAAAAGCAAAAGAUCAAGUCUAAUAAAUGGAGGACAUGUGGGGGUCCAAAGCCAAAGCAAAUCUCAGGCAUUUUGAUUUCUGUGAAGAAUCAACUUUUCCCAUAAUAGAGUGGAUGCCCUUCUUUGUUUUCUUCCCUUGAAACAACCAAACACUUGAAGCCAAAAACUAACUAAUCAUUAUUAUUCUUCGUUUUGAGAUACUUUUCAAUGUGUCCAGAAUACAGGCUAAGUCGCAUGUUCUUAUACAAAUAGAGGAAUUUUUUUUUCCUUUUUCAAGUGUCCCUGACUAGUAUAAUGACAUAAUACAUGUGCCUGUGUUCCGGGCACCAUAAAAAACCUAUCCUUCCUUUUAUUGAAAAAAAAAGUGAUUCAAGUAUACCACAAUUCUUUCAUGAAAGAUGGUGUUCUUAAAGUAAUGACACGUUUGUUUACUUGAAAUUUAAAUUAUUCUGAUUUUGAGUAAAAUAUGGAUAUUGAAAUUAUAUACGUUUACUAUUUACUGAUACAUACAAUACAAAAUACAAAAAACAUGUUAUAUGGUUGUCACACUACAAUCCAAACUCUAAUACUUAAAAGACUAGGAAUCAAUUUAUUAUGUGAUAUUAGAGGAAUAUUUUUGUUCCCCAUCAUCAAUUGAUGACAAUGCUCACAAACCCUAUUUAUCACCAUUGAACAAGUUCGAAUUUCAAGAUCCGUGUAAUAGAUAAAUACAAAACUCAAAAUUUAAACUAAUCAAACAAUAAAAAGUAGAGUAGUGAACAUGAUCACCACUUGAAGAUAGUGAACAAAAAUGCACCCGUAUUCCAGAUAUUGAUAUAUAUCUCAUAAAAUGAAUCAUAAAAAAGUAGAAACUCACAUCUCAUAAUUACAAAUGCAUCUUAAUUACAAAUGCAACUGAAUAGAUCAUGGUUUCUUGUUGAUAUGGGCUACCAAGCAAUAAUUUCAACCACCCUGGUUUCUUCUUCUUGUUUUGAGCUAUUUUAGUCUCCUUCUUGUUCCUUUUGGUGCAAUCCAUAACUCCAACUAUCUCCCUCUAAACUAACUAAUUUUUUUAUAAGUGAUAUUCCAACUCUAAACUGGAUUAAGGAGAGAGGAGAGGCUCUGAACCAGGAACGCAGUGAGUUGAAGAGAAAUGACAUAAUCUCCAGGACAAUCCACCACUUGCUAAUAACUCGUUUGAAAAUGCUUUUAAAAUGAUUGAAAACACUUUUGAUGAAAAUGUUUUAGAAACCAAUCCUUAGUAAAAAUUCAAGUAGAUCCUGAAAAAACACUUUAAGUGCUUCCUGCAUGAAUCACAUAUUUGGUGCUUCUUCCAAAAAGCACUUAAAAUGCUUUUGGAAUCCAAAACCAAUUUUAUCAAAAAGUUUUCCGUCAUUUUAAAAGUACUUCCAAAUGAGACCUUAACUAACUCAUUCAUUCCUUCAUGAUAUUAGUUCCGAGCUAGGCGUACGUCAAUUUUGGAGGAAGGAUGACAUGAACUUGUAAAACCUUAUUCUCAGAGGAGUUUGCCUGAACUUCAAUAGAGGAGUUGGGAAGAAACUUAAAAAUUCAUUCCAAAUUGGACAAUAGCAAUCAGAUUGCUGACACUUGAUUCUGAUUUCAGCCACUGCAGAUUCAAUUAGACUUGUACAAACUGUUUCUCUGUUGCAUGAUACGAUUGGCAACUCGGAUUGAACUGUAGUACAUUUGGGAACCAAAGUCGCCUAGUACAAGGCCGAAAGUACAAAGUUCAGCCUCCGAGCCAUUUAUAGGAGUGGGGCGGGUUUCUGCCUCAUAUAGCUGGUGCCGGAGACUGGGGGAAGUUUAGGAGAGAUGAGGAGACCCAGCAGCUGCAUAACCUUCCCAUCCUUGCAUCAAACAUAAGAUGCCGGAAAUUCUUCCACAACCGCCAGAAGUAGUAGGGAGGUAGGAGCUAAUUCUUCCACUAUACAAAAUGAUGGAAUUACAAGAAAUUCUUUAUUGACAGUACUAUGAAAUACCAAUCCACAAAGUAUCUAUGAGUUACAAAAAAUCUCACGAAAAAUGACUGCCGGGAAGGAAAUACCAAAAAAGAAUCCCUUUUACGGUUCUUUUUUUGUAUUUUGUCGGAAUCCACAAUAUAAUUCAUAUCAAUAAAAUCAAAGGAAAUACUAGGCAAAAGAUCAGAAAAACACAACCGAAGGGGACAAUAAAGCUUAUUUCGUCCCUUAUCAGAACCAAAAUCAAGGAGUAAAAGAUGAAAGGAAACGCUCAAGAACAAAUAUUUACAGUGCAAUUAUCGUUUGGGAAAACUAAAACGUUGAAGCUACACGGAGUCACAAAGAUUCAAGAGAUCAAUGAUACAGAAGGUGAUCACACACUAACAUUUUAGCAUACUAGCACAAUUAGAGGAAAAUUAAAAAAGUGUUUAACUGGAGCAAAAUGGGCUCAAUUUUAGAAGGGCCUGAGUAAACCCUACACUAAAUAUUCCUAAUCAUAUUAAAAUGGUUAGGUCAAAUUUAAAAGAUCAUUUAUCCUGAAAGUUGGGUAAAAUCAGGUGGCACCUAUAGAUAACUUCUUGUUGAUAAUUCAGAAAUAAAAUGGUUCCACUCGCAGACCGUCCAAGUGAUGAUCCAAGGGAUCAUUUGGUUAGGUUUUUGCUUUUAGUUUCUUUUUCUUUUUCUUAAGAUAAAUAAAGAAGAGAGAAUGAAAAUAAAGCGGAGAGAGAGAGAUAAAGGAAAAGACAUCAAAUGAGUUUUUAAAAUAAAAAAUAAACUAUAACAGAAAACCAAAAUGUUACCAAAAGGGCCUCAACGUAUGUUAUUGUAAAACUGAGGUAUACAUGUAAACGACUGUUGGUGUAUGAUGUUACGGCAGCAAAAUAAUGCAACAUUGGUAUCAAACAAGGUGUACCUUAACAUCUUCUUGCCCAGUAUUUCUGAGGAAAGAGGAAACUUUCCACUAUGGAACAUUGAAGCUGCAUCACCUGCAAGUACAUAUGCCAAGAAUGUCUAGCUCUGAAAUCCAUUUUAUAAACACUAUGAUAGCAUGAAUAUUUUCUAGGCAAGUCAAACCAGCCAAAUGAGCACCGUAAAAAAGAUAUCAAGAUAAUCCAUGUAAUUAGGAAGCCUGCUAUGCAGAAACACUCUAAACCCUAAACCAACUAACGCACUAUACAGAAGGUAAACCAAUCAUACCUAUCCACACAAAAAGAUAAAUUAAAAUAAAUGGUAGAUAUCUUUCAUGAAUACUUUAGCUUGACUAACCUAUGUCUUCCUAAGAAAUCUGCUUCAUGCAGACCAGAAUUCAGUUUAUCUUCUGAAAAUGACUUGUCACUUCUACAUAUAUAGAAUAACAAGGCAAUCGUCAAACUUAUUUUUUUGGUGAUUUUAGACAAACGAUGCCACCAACCAAGCACCAAAAAAUGUAAUAGAAAUCAACGAAUGCUAAUGAAGUUGAAGGCAAAGUGCCAUCUACUUACCAUGAAUUGCAUGGUCAAGCUGCAAAGUGGUCACAACAUAGGAAUAUAUACACCUCAGGCCAAAAACAGUGCCAUUUCUUAUUAUUUGAUAAAUGAAUCUAGAUAAUGAAUUUUCUUUGCCUCCAUGUGUAUAAAGAAACCAUGAUCAAUGUACAUCCUUCAAAUCUUUGUUAACAAUUUGAGAAGUCACCACAGUCUCGUUUAUUUUAGAAAGUUCUCUGGCCAAAAUAACAUACGUCUGGGUACUGAUACUGCAUUUUUCAGAUUCAAUAACAUGAAGAAACUUCAUGCAUAAAUCUGAAUUCCCUUCCUUCAGUAACCCAUCAAUUAACACAGUCCAAACAAUCUCAUCAGUAUUCCAUUGUUUCUCUAGCAUCCUUCUGAAUAAUGUUUCAGCUUCUUCCACUCGACUCACCCUGCAGAGGACACUAAUAAGUGCCUUAUAAGAUGAUAAGUGUACCUCAAAUCCCCUAUCUGCCAUCAAACCAAAAAUUUCCAGCGCAGAAUCCACUUUCAAAUUCAUACAAUAAACAAAGAACAGAGACAGAUAAAUCUUAUUAGUGGGGCAGAACCCUUUAUCUUUCAUAUGCUGCAGCAACUGAUCCGCCUCAUAAUAUCUACCAUCUCUGCACAAGCCUCUCACUAAAAUGUCAUAGGUAUGAACAGUUGGUUCACAUCCAUACUCUGACAUCCUAGCUAAGAGAUUACACAACACCUCAAUAGAGGUAUAGCUCUCAUCAGAGCUGCAACUAUACAUUUCUUCAUGUUGGGACUCAAGGCCCACAACAUUCUCUGUCAGCAACUGGCUUUCCCUUUGCAACCCCUUGACCAACACAGAAUAAGUUCGGUAGUUGGGCUUGCAGCCAACAUCAACCAUUCGCCUAAGGAGCAGAAACGCAUGAUCUAGCUUGCCAAGUAUAACAAAUCCAUCAAUGAGUGUGGUAUAUGUUACCUCAUCAGGAACCAAUCCUUUCUGAUCCAUUUCUUUAAGUAACCUCUCAGCAUCAUCAACCUUACCCUCACGACAUAACCCAAAAAUGAGUGAACUAUAUGUAUACAAGUUCGGCAAGCAACCCUGCUUUCCCAUUUCAUGGUAGAUUUGGAAUGCAACGUCAGUACUGCCAUUCCCACAGAGGCACCUAAUUAGAGACGUGUAGGUAAUGACAUUUGGAGCCAGUCCUUGCUCCCCCAUCUUUGUACAUAAUUUUUUAGCUUUUUCAAUCUGAUUAUCAUUGCACAAACCACUUAUAAUGGUAUUGUAGGUUUCAAUACCCGGACAGCAACCAUCCUCCUCCAUCCGCUCAAAUAAUGCCAAUGCAGCAUCUACCUUCCCCUCCGCACAAUAUCCAGCAAUCAAAGCAGUGUAAGUGACCUGAUUGGGACGAAUGCCUUGUUCUACCAUCUCAUGGAAAAUAGUAGAUGCCUCUUCAGACUUACCCGCCUUGCAUAACCCAGAAAUAAGUUCAGUAUAAGUCCAUUCAUCUGGUUCACAUCCACUCCAUUUCAUCAAAUCCAAUAACCUCACUGCAUUGUUUAAUUUACCCCCAUCAAGGUAUGCAUUGAUAAGUGUGUUAUAAGUAAUCACAUUUGGAGAGGGUCCCACUUUCAGCAUUUUGCUUAAAAGCGUCAUUGCCUUAUUAACGUUACCUAUCAAACAGAAAACCUUGAUGAUUCCAUUGUGUGUUUGGGUAUUUGACAAGGUACCAUGUCUUUCCAUCCAAUAAAAAAUCUUCUGAGCCAUGCCAUAUCUUCCUGUCUCACAUAAUUCAUUUAUCAAUGUAUUGAAGGUAACCGUGUUUGGGACCAAACCGUCCUUCACAAGUUUGUGAUAGAGUCCAACAGCAACAUUGAGUUUUCCUGUCUGAGACAACCCGCUGAUCAAUGCUGUAUAAGUAUGAACGUUAGGAUGGCAACCCCUGCUCCUCAUACUUCUGAAAAGCCCAAUUGCUUCCACCAGUCGAUUGGCCUCACAUAGUGAAGUAAUUGGGACAGUGUAAGUAAAUACUGUGGGUUCAAUCCCUUUCUCUACCAUUUCAUCAAGCAUAUCCAGUGCCUCAUCCACCUUUCCCUCAUUGCAUAGCCCAUUGAUAAGAGUUGAAUACGUAACCGAAUUGGGGUCACAACCUGCCUUCACCAUCUGAUCAUAAACGUCAAAUGCCAAAUUCACCUUACGAUUUCUACAAUGCCCAAGAAUCAACGAUGUAUAAGUAAAAACAUCCGGGAAAAUAUCGAACUGAAAAAUCCGGCUCAAAAUCACCUCUGCUUCCUGAACCCUGCCUUUCUUACACAAUAUAUUGAUCAUUGUAUUAAAUGUCAACAAACUUGGUCUAAUCCCACUAUUAAGCAUCUGAGUAUAAACAUUUCGAGCUACACUAACCAUCUCGAACUUUCCCAAUUGUAUCAAAAGCGUAUUAAAACUAAACAAUGUAAACUGAAAACCAAGUCUAUUCAAAUCAUUCAAAUACUCAAUUACCCAUUUGAGCUCUUCCUCCUUCCUACAAGCCUUGAUCAUUAAAAUCCUCACACGAUCCGCAGGCGCAAAAAGCCGCUCCCUCACAAGCCGAUUAAGCAUUGACGAGAAGCAGCCCAUAUCGUGUUUGUAAAAAUGCCUCUUAGAAAUCCAGUAGAAGAAUCUCAACGCCGAGUCAGUGUUACGGUGGGACUCGAUGAUCUUCGACACGUGAUGGGUUCUGAGCUCGGGUCCCAGCCAGCUGAGCUCCGAGCUCCGUUCCCAUUGGGGGUCGCUCAAAAUGUCGCAGAUUCUGGCGACCAAGUCCGGGAAAGGUUUGGAGGGUUGAGCGGGUUCGGAGAAAAGCCUGGUUCUUGUUGAGAAUUUGAGAAAAUGGUCGGAACCCAAUAGAGAGCGGAGGGUUUGGAGGGGCUUUAACAUUUCGAGCUAUGGGGAGGUCAUGUGGGAUUGCAGAAGAAGAGGAUGGUAAAGUUUGGGACUUUUGCCGGUUUUCAGAGAUAUGGGGAUUGAAGGGGGUUGAUUGGUAGGGGGGAAGCGUGAGUCGACUCGGCGAGUUGGUGAACGUGGUCAUUGGAGAGCCAUAACCAGCAGCUUACUGGAGGUGGAGGGAAGUGGAGAGAAAGGUUACGCUGUUGAGUAAAAACUAGGGUUCUUUCACUCGGAGACGGAAAAAGAGGGAAAUAUAACAGAAAGGCCAAAUUGCAGUAAUAGUUUCAUAGUUUACAUGAGCUUUCGCUUUCAUCCCUAUACAAAUUCUUACAUUUUCAUCUUUGUUGUUUUGAUCUAUUUUGACCUUAAGUUUGGCCCCGCUAAUUAAAUUAGUUUUUCGGUCUAAGUUUGUGCACAUCUUCUCAUUUAACAAAAAAUUUAUCAUUUGACAAACCGGUGUACGAUGAUGUCGAAAAUGAAAAACAUAAAUAUCUAGCAUAUAGCAACCUAUUACGAGCGAUUAUUGCGAUAAUAUUUUUCUUGAAUAUUAAGAAUGAAAAAGAAGAUUAACAGGCAUAUGACAAAAAACAUUGUCGAAAAUAUUUGGGUCCCUCAAUUCUCUAAUAGGUAGUCUUGUAAUCAUGUAUAGUAACUCUAGAUAUUAUCUUCACUUGCUACUAAUGAGAGAACAUGAGGAGUGUACCUGCGAAAGACACUCUAACACUCAAGUUAGUGAGUCUUUAAGAUGAUUGUCGUAAAAUUUAGAAUAAUUGGUACCUUUUCCCUUUUAAUAGGUGAGUUACCUUUACAUUUGAAGUAUUGAGCUCCAAGUUCAUGUUCGUUAAUUUUCUUUAUAAUUCACUAAUAACUCUAUCAUAAACACAAAGUGAUCACAUAACAAAUUACUGACUUGAUCGUAGCUCCACUUCCCUAUAGAGUGCACAUACCUUAUUUGGUUGAGUAAAAUAUGCUCCCAUGUUCCUUAACCCACAAACACGUAAUCCAUCAUGAGUAGGUAGCAAUUAACAAAAGAAAAGAAAUAACAAUAGGCAUUUGACGGAUUUGACCAACGGUGUUAACUUAAUGAAAUUACAUAGGAUGAAAAUGUAAGAAAAAAAAUACAAGGACGAAAUUAAAAACCGAGAUAAACUACAGGACUAUUAGUGCAAUUUAGUUGUGGUUAUACAUGGGCCACUCAGACGGUCGGACCCCUUGGUUGUGGUUAUCAUCUGAUCCACCAACGCCAUUGCAGGUUGCAGCAAUGCUUCAGCUCACACCAUCUCUCUCUCUCCUCCACAAACCAUUUCUCUCUCCUCAAACCCUAAACCCCUUCUCGCUUCUCCAAACAUGCAAAACCCUACAAGAAGCACAGCAGCACCACGCCCUGUUCCUCAAGACCGGAACUUUCAGCCACCCUUCAGUCGCCUCCUGCUUCCUUUCUCUCUACGCCGACCCCAAAAUCAACAACCUCGACUACGCCCGCUCCGUCUUCGACCAAAUCGAACAACCCUCGUUGGUGUCUUGGAACGUUCUCAUCAAAUGCUACGUCGGAAACCAGCGGUCGCAUGAUGCCAUUGUUUUGUUCUAUGAAUUGGUUCAUGAGCUUGUUCCCGAUCAUUUCACUGUGCCGUGCGUGAUUAAGGGUUGCGCUCGGUUGAAUGCGAUUGAGGAAGGGAAGCAGAUUCAUGGGUUGGUGUUGAAAAUUGGGCUGGGGUUGGAUAAGUUUGUCCAGAGCAGUUUGGUGAGUUUGUACUCGAAAUGUGGUGAGAUUGGUUUGGCUCGGAAGGUGUUUGAUGAAAUGCGUGACCGAGAUUUGGUAACUUGGAAUUCAUUGGUGGAUGGGUAUGCGAGGUGUGGAGAAGUAGAAGUGGCAAUGGAGUUGUUUGAUCAAAUGCAGGAGAGGGAUUUGUUUUCUUGGACUGUUUUGGUCGAUGGGUUGUCGAAAUGCGGGAAGGUGGAGAUGGCUAGGGAGGUGUUUGAUAGGAUGCCAAAUAGAAAUUCGGUUUCUUGGAAUGCCAUGAUUAAUGGGUACAUGAAAGCUGGAGAGGUUGAGACGGCUCGUCAAUUAUUUAGUGGGAUGCCGGCAAGAGAUGUGAUAACUUGGAAUUCAAUGAUUGCAGGUUAUGAAUUUAAUGGGAGGUUUAUGGAAGCAUUGGAGUUGUUUCAAGAAAUUUUGAAAGAAGAUGUCAUGCCUAGUCAUGCUACAUUGGUCAGUGCUCUUUCAGCCGUUUCGGGAUUAGCUAUCCUGAGUAAGGGGAGAUGGAUUCAUUCUUUCAUGGUAAAACAUGGAUUUGAGUUAGAUGGCGUGCUUGGUACAUCCUUGAUUGAUAUGUAUUCCAAGUGUGGGAGCAUUGAGAAUGCUCUGACCGUAUUUCGAGCUAUACACAGGAAGAAAUUAGGGCAUUGGACUUCUAUAAUUGUCGGUUUAGGAAUGCAUGGUAUGGCUGACCAAGUUCUUGAGCUAUUUCUCGAGAUGCGGAAGAAUGGAAUGCAGCCUCAUGCUAUAACUUUUAUUGGAGUCUUGAAUGCAUGUAGUCAUGCCGGAUUGGUCGAUCUUGGCCGUUUCUAUUUCAAUCUGAUGACAAAUGAUUAUGGAAUUGAACCCACAAUUGAACACUACGGUUGCUUUGUAGACAUUUUAUGUCGGGCUGGCUGUCUGGAUGAGGCGAAGAAUGUCAUUGAAAGUAUGCCCAUGAAACCAAACAAAGUAAUCUGGAUGAGUUUGCUCAGUGGUGCUCGGAAUCAUGGAAAUGUUGAACUUGGCGAUUAUGCUGCUCGUCACCUGAUUGAAGUGUCUCCCGACACUAUUGGAUGCUAUGUUGUUCUUUCUAACAUGUAUGCUGCUGCUGAUCAGUGGGAGAAAGUUUCACAGGUAAGAGAAAUGAUGAGAAUGAGAGGAGUCAAAAAGGACCCGGGAUGCAGUUCCAUAGAGCACAGAGGUGUGCUUCAUGAGUUUAUUGUGGGUGAUAAAUCACACCCUCGGACAGAAGAGAUAUAUUCGAAGUUGAGUGAGAUGAGAGAGAAACUGAAAUCUGUAGGACAUGUUCCUGACACAAGCCAAGUUCUGUUGUGUCUUGAAGAGGAAAAAGAGAAGGAAGCUGAACUGGAAAACCAUAGUGAAAGAUUGGCUAUUGCAUUUGGUCUCAUUAAUUCGGAAGCUGGGAGUCCUAUUCGCAUUAUAAAGAAUCUUCGUGUCUGUAGCGAUUGCCACUCUGUCACUAAACACCUAUCCAGUAUCUAUAAUCGUGAGAUUAUUGUGAGAGAUAAUAGUCGUUUCCAUCAUUUCAGAAAUGGCUCAUGUUCUUGCAAAGAUUUUUGGUGACUAACUUGUUUGUCUGCUGCAUUGACGGCUGUGUUCAGCUGCUCACAGCCUUAAAGCAAGAAGCAUCAGAAUGCAUCUACCUCUAUGCUUGCGCUCUUAACAUUGGAGCAGCUAUCGGUAUCAUUUCUUCUGAUUCAGGCAUAUUUUUACAUGUUCAUUUGAUGUAUUUUAGCAUUAUAGGCAGUCAUGAAUGUGCGCAUUCAUUUAAUGAUGCGACUUGUCCCUCACAAAAGCUGCCCCUCUUGUAACAGGGAUAUGACUCAUAGGUCUUGCUUUCCCAAAAUUCUGCAUUGGCAAGAGACUCGCACUAACAAGAUAGGGAAUCUUCAUUAUACAGAGUCUGAGUUUAUAAUGAGAGAUAAUAGUUGUUCCCAUCAUUUCUUUCACCCUCCAUUGGAGAAAGGCGUGUAUACUAGGUGCCCUUAGUAUUAGAGGCAAUCUUCAUUGUAUACUGAUUACCCCCGUAGUAAAUGUAAACUUAUACCGACAGUAAUGUAAAAAAUUCUGAUUUUUCUCAAAUUGACUGUUUCAUACAUUCUCUUUGUGCUUUGAUUGAACUCAAAAUUUUUCUACUUUCCCCAACCUAAGAUGAAGAAACCUAUGCCUGCACUCUUAAAUUGGAAGGGCCAUUGUUGUCAGUUCUUUUGAUUGUGGGAACUUGUUGUGUGUUUAUUUAAUAUAUAGCAGUACAGGCAGUCUUGAUGCCUGUCCGGAUGCUGAAACUCUUGAAAUUAGAAUGCAACUGCAGUCCCUGUAUUGGCUAGAUACUUGUUCACCCCUUAGAUAUAUUGGCUAGAGACUUGUGCACCCCUUAGAUAUAUGGGCAGUCUAUGUUAUGCUGAUGUUAUAGUGAAAGGUAAUAGCCAUUCCCAUUUUGCAAUCUUCAUUAUACUAAGGUAAUAGUGAAAGCCCAUCAUUUCUUUCACCCUAAGUUGACAGAAUUCGUAUACUUGGUGUCCAUAUAGAUACAGUGUAGGCAAUCAUCAUUGCAGAAAUUUUAUGCCCUAAUUAAACUUAAUUUGCCUAAUGGUGACGGAUUGAUGAAGAAACCUGAGAUCAAUCUAUGAUCUUAUGGUUCGGCAUUGACUUUCUCUUGUAUUUCGCUAGUUCGAAGCAUCCUCCAUUUGUUUCCUAGUUUAGAUUUACUAUAUUGCCACAAAGCAUGCAUCUAUUGAUAGGAAUUCUUGAAUGUGCACCACAAUUAGACAAAUAAAACGAAGGAGCUUGGGAGUUUUUUACUGCAUACAGCGGUUUCAAUACAAGCAGUUUCUAGUAAAAUUGCAUCAGAACUAAUGGAGUCCACAACAAGAGAACCUCAACACAAGCAGUAAGUUCGGGUAAUGUUACAGAUGAACGGCCAUGGCUUGAGGUUUCUUCACUUUCCAGGGACGAAGUUGGUGGCGUAAGCCCAUGCGUUGUUGGCCACUGGGUCAGCGAUGUGGUCGAAGAGGUUCUCCACCGGUCCCUUUCCAGUUACAAUAGCCUGAACAAAGAAUCCGAACAUUGAGGUCAUAGCCAGACGCCCGUUCUUAAGUUCCUUCACCUUCAGUUCAGCAAAAGCUUCGGGAUCAUCAGCAAGUCCAAGGGGGUCAAAGGCCCCUCCUGGGUAAAGUGGGUCUAGUCCCUCACCGAGUGGUCCUCCUCCAACUCUGUAUCCCUCAAUGAAUCCCAUGAGCACGACCUGGACAGCCCAGAUUGCCAAGAUGCUCUGAGCAUGGAUAAGGUUUGGGUUGCCAAGGUAGUCAAGGCCGCCCUCAGAGAAGAUUUGCGAUCCAGCCUUGAACCAGACAGCCUCGCCGAACUUGACGCCAUUCCUUGACAAGAUUUCUGGGAAGACGCAUCCCAGUGCACCAAGCAUGGCCCAUCUGGAGUGGAUCACCUCAAGCUCACGGUUCUUGGCAAAUGUUUCGGGGUCUGCAGAUAGUCCAGCAGUGUCCCAUCCGUAGUCUCCGGGGAAUUCACCGGUCAAGUAUGACGGAGUUUGCUCGGAGAAUGGUCCCAAGUACUUGGGGCGGUCUGGGCCGUACCUGUUUUGUCAGUUACCAUGUAAACUUCUCAAUGGUAUAUGAUCAUGUUGUUCUUGUAACAAUGUUGCUAUACAUUGAGCUAAAAUUUAUCGUGUACAUCAUAAGCAUGUCCGCUCAUAAGCGCUUCUGUUAGAAGUGCUUUUAUUAUAAACAUGUACAAGUCUUUGUUUAAAAUCCAAGUGCUUUCCUAUGAAGCACAUAGCAGGUACUUCUCCAGAAAGCAUUUAUAUUCACGCAUGGGAAUUUUAGUAGAGUUGCUUGGAAAGAAAGAUAGGUUAUGCUGACAUACUAGAGCCAAGGUACUUACCAUAUGCUCUGGGGGGCACUUUUGACGGUGCGCCGCAUGGAGAAGCGGCCGCCGCCAAGGCCGCCGAUCUUUCGGACGAGCUCACUGGACUGCUUCAAAGCAGUCUGGCCAGCAAAUGCUGAUUGUUGGAUUGCAGAGGUUGCCAUUGCUUGCUGCUUUUUUUCUGUUUGAAGUUUUGGUGGUGUUGAGCAAGCCUGCCGAGAUGCUUUCAACCAGGGAGAGGUCAGGGAUGUUAUAACGGGGAGUUGAAGAUGAUGUGGAUUAGGAUAUGUACACGUCAGCGGCAUCCUAUUGGUUAUCAAAUAGAUUCGGAUUUCCAAUCUGAUUGUCGUAGAGAGUGAGAGGUUCUCUCUUUGCCACGUGGCAGACAGAUGCUGCAAUGUUUGUGGUUGGUGAACACAGGCCACAAGUUGACCAAAAGACAAAUGUUUCGCAGGUCCACGGGUAAAAUCAUAAAAUUACCUUGUGUUUUUGCAGGCUUGAGGUGAAAAAAAUGGGAAAGGAUUCUCUCCGGAUCCCUUCUACCUAAUCUUUCUCAUCAAAUAAUUCGGAUUUUUAAAAUUUGAAUUAAUGGCUAAAGUUAUUAUAACUUUUAAAGUUGAUCAUGUUUUUAACCAUUGAAUCAAAUUUCAAGGACCAUGAUUGUUUGAUGAAGACGAUUAGGUGAAAAGGAUCAAGAGAGGAUCCUUAAAAAAAAUCUACCUUUAAUUUGGACAGCGAAAAUUAUAAAAUACGUUAAUUUAUAAAUACGAUGUGGAAUUUAACUGGAUGAUGUGAUCCACUUAAAAGGCAAUGUGUUGUAAGACUCUUCAAACUAUUUAUUGGCUGCUAUGAAAGAGUUGUAUAGCUGCAGUAGUUUUUGACAAAACAGUAAAAAUAGUGACAAGCCAGAAAUAGGUUGCCGUGGAAGAGGAGCAUUCAAAUUUACUUGACCUAUGUAACUCAAAUGGUUAAAAACAUUUACUUUACUUCUAAGGUCCUAUGUUGAAAUUCACCCUCACUAAUAUCGCUUGUAACGAAAAACAACACAUGAUCUGAUGAACUGCAAGCAUUCUGGUCGAUCGAAUCGAAGGUUGAUAAAAACUUAAGCAACCAAACUAGUAAAUUAGAAGGGACAAGGGGGAGCAACAUGCGAAAAGAGUAAGAAUUUGCUACCUUGGAAAUACAGAAUCAACUCUUUCACAUUGUAGAGAUGGCAGACAUGGUUUGUUGUUGUAAACUAAACCAAAAACCAAUCAAGCAAUAAACAAAAUACAACGAUUUCAAAGUCUCUCCAAUAUAUGAGUACCUUUUUAACAAUGGAAACUUUAUUGAUUACCAACAAAUACAAGAGAACUCACAAACACAAAGUGUUCUCAAGUAUACAUACUUAUGCCUCCCACAACUUUCACACACAAAACUCUAUCACGCAUCCAUCUAUUUAUACUAACAGAUGUCAUAGGUUUACAUAAAGUCCAUAGAAUAUAGGAAACCAAAUCCUAUAGUAAAAUCAAAUCCCAAACCAACUAGGAAACACAAAUCCAAAUAUCUUGCGUCUAAGAUAUCCUAAUCCUUUUUAGAUUAGGCAUGUUGAUUUAAUGCCAAAUCCAAUAGUUUGUUUACUGUAUUUAGUAUUUGCAGCUCAACGGAUAUACAUCGCGAGAGGGGAAAUUUCUGGGCGAAAACAGUAUGAUGAUACAGACAAGAUGAGAAACAAACAAAUGGGAACGUAUAAUCUGUGUUGUAUAUGUGAGAAUCCAGCGUGUGAGCUCACCAUCAGUGCCGAAGUUGUUUUUUGGAGGUGUGCUAAAAGGAAUUUGAAGGCCCGAACAGAACCCCACGAAAGAGCAGCAAGAACGCAACAAAUUAGCCACUGCAGUGCAUUCAACCUCACACAGCUGGCUAGUCCUUUUCCAAACUCAACAAUGAUCACCUGGAUGAUCAAAACAGCCGCUAACGCCAUCAGAAACCAAUGGCUGCGGAGGACAACAACUAGCACUUCCUUUUUUACUAUGUCCAUGGCACUGAACAAAUUAAGGACCUGGCAUAAGGUGAAAGUAUUGAAAAUCAUGGUAUUCCGGACACCUUCGUUCAUGCUCGAUACUACAUUUCCCAUGAAAUGUAAGAUCAGCAAGAUGGAAGCCUGGUACAAAACUUGAACUGCUAUGUUUCCCCAGAUGACUUUGGUUAUAAGCGACUCGGUCCUCUUAGCAGGUAUUUGAGUGUGUCGUUCAGUGCCUUGUAACUCCAUCACCAUCAUUAGGCCACCAAGAAGGCACAUGAUCAAGUUCACCCAAAUCAAGUGAACUGUUGUUAGUGGGGACUCUCCCGAAUGCAUUGUUACGACUAGGGUCACUAAUAGCCCGGAUAUGCAAGUGGUGAGUUGAAGUUGAGAGAACUGCUGAAUGUUAUGGUAAGCACAAGCACCGAACUUCAUAUUCAUGCUUAAGAAAUAUCCAUUUCUGAUUAUAAGAUCGGCGUUCUCUCUGGCCAUCUCGGUGCUCCAGAGAUCUUCUACAAUUCCUACAUCAGCUUCUUUUAAGGUCAGAGCGUCACUGCUGGUUAGCCCUCCAUAAAAUCCAACUAUGUGACCUUUUUUCUUUAACUGCUCCACCAUGAGAAACUUGUCCUUGGGGAGAGAACUUCCCAUCACAGAGAUCAAAUCCACCUUAUCCCGCAUUUCCACGGAAUUGAGCCUUCGGAAAUCUUGACCUUCAAUUUUCGUGAAAUCUGAGUCAGGGGAGAUCCUAAGCUCCAAAGCUCUAGCUCUCACUUUCGAGAGCUCAUCAUCCGACACCAGUUUGAUCCUUACUCCAGCUUCUCUAAGAGCCUCCACGUCCAAUUUAAGUUCUUCUUGAUAUGGACAUCUAAGACCGACAGGUGCCAACAAAAUCAAACCAUCUUUUGUAGGAUAUUUGGCUUCUGUUUUCUUGUACGCUUAUGCAAUCGAUCUAAGACCCUUCUUCUCCAUCUUCUCGAUCACCUGCUUGAAUUUUCUCGUCUGGUAUCCAAUAUUGUGACUUUCCCCUCUGUUAUCAUAGUAAUGUGAACACAUGCCUAGUAUUGUUGAUGCUUCUCCGUCACAGUGAAGUUGCAUAAUCUGUUCAUCAUUCUCGAUUUUCCUCAAUACAACUCCUCUAUACUUCUCAUUAGAGCUCCAUUGUUCAACAAUUUCAAAUCUUCGAUCCAAUAACUUCGCGUUACUACCCCAUAUGGUGUUCAGCCAAGAAAUGAGCCGAUCAUUUUUUGGUGACGUGGUAGCUGAAAUCCCCUGAUGGAGAGCCUCAAGAACUUGGUCAGUUUCCGAGUCCACUUCACCACUGCUUAAAUCUUUUUCGCCGAUCCGAAAUUCCUCGACCUCCGUCCGGUUGCACGUUAGAUCUACCGUUGUUUCAAUGCAGAUGAAAUUUAAGAGUCCCACGGUGACAGAAGCUGAUAGAUUCCGUGGAUCUGCUUGAUUUUUGGCUGCCUUCUCCUUCCAUUGAAAAAGGGCAACUGCAAUCACAAAAGGCAUCCCAUGUUGUAUCCCUAUUACCACAGUUGUGAGAACGCUUGCUAAGAUGGAAACUUUUCCUUGAGGUUCCAAUGAGAUCUUUUAAAAAAUCCUCAUCACAAAAUUCAUUGAAAAUAUCCCUUUCAGCUCUGGCCUUUCAUUGUAAUUUUCAUACUUCCUGAAGAAUAGUAGGCGUAUCAACAUCCCAACCCAAUCAGUAUCGAGACACCACAUGUAAGAUAAUCCAUACAAUCAUUCGGUUUGUCCAUCAAAUCUUGUAGCAGUGUCUUUUCAUUUGGAUUAUGAUCAGACAACGAGCUCAGCACCUCAGCAAAAGCUGUAUUAGCACCAAUGGAUGUCACAAUCAUGCAGCUAUGGCCCUUCACAACCUUUGAACCCGAAAAAACAAAUGGAUUUUGUUCGCAAUCAAUUUUUGGGCUCAACACCUCAUCCAGAACCAAUACCUCACCGUGAUCUAUGAACAAACCAUCAGCAGGAACACAGUCUCCUUCCUUCAAAGGAACUAUAUCACCCACCACAAUGCCAGAUAUGGUAAUCGGUGUAGGUUCUGUGCUACUUAUUUCAACAUUCACCGUCAAUUUGCUCCUAUCCAGCAAGUGUUUUGCCAGCUUUCUCUGACGGAGGUAGUUCCCCACAGAACGGAAAGCAAUAAGUAAGAACGCGGCAAUGAGUAUGGCAACACCGUCAUGCCAGCCAUCCUUGACUCCUUGAUUCAUGAAUUCGAUGGUGAACGAUAACCCAGCUGAGAGCAAGAGGAAAAAAAUUAUGUACUGAUUGAACGCCUCAAACAAAAAGUACAAGAAACCUUUGGCGUCAACAGGGGACUUGGUAAUGUUCCAUCCUUCUGGAUUUUGACCACCAUCAAUGGCACCUUCCUGAGAUCAAAUCUUGAAUAUAAUCAACUGAAGUACAAUCAUUCUCGACCAUGUACAAGAUUAUAGAAAAAGUGGUUAUUUUCUACAGGGUUGCUUGCUACCUCAAAAUGAGACCUGAGAAGUGGCAAGAUGCCAUCAACACCACCAAGUCUGCGGAGUGAGUUCAAGUCCUUCUCCCUCACUAUUUCAGUAACCUUUUUCGAAAACCAUUCCUGGAGAGGGAUGUCAAUCACAUGGUCAGAGGUAGUGGCUGGCGGCGCUGGUGCUGCUGCUAAAGGUUCAGAACUAGCUUCAAGCAAACGUCUGGUUUUCUUAAUGCGUGAUGAGAACAAAAUGCCUAGAACAACAUAUCUCAGCGAGGUUCCCAUGCGUCUGAUGGUCUGCAUAAUCAAGCCGGUAGUAAGAGUGGCACCUUCAGCAGCUUUGAUCCUCUGUAUUUAUCUCGAAGGUCGUGUUUCCUUGUGCCACAAGAAAAUUAGAGAGAUGAUCAGACAAGAAAUUGAUAAAAUUUGAUUCGUUGGCGCGAAUUUGCAGUUAAUGAGACGUUUAAAACAAGAUUGGUAAGACUCAUUCCCUUAUGUUAGAUCUUGUAAGUAAUGAGCAUAGCUAAUAGGAGGAUUAUGUACGUCUCUUUUUUUUCCUUCAUAUUCACGCUUUAUAAGCAAACAAAUUUAACUCAAGUGGCUAAAAGUUUUGCCACUCAACUACUCAGUACCAGGUCUGAUGGUAUUCCUCUUCACUUGUAAGUGAGAGAUUUUAGGUUCGAAUCUCGUGAAUGGCGAAUUCGAUACCAAAUUAAGUUGGCUUAGCCGAACUCCCUCUUCCCUUAGUAUAAAAUUAUAUCGAUGUAUUAAAAAAAAGCUAAAAGUAUUUAUUAUGUACCAAAAGUUUUUUAUCAAAAAAAUGGCAUCACAUACAGAGAUCCCUAUUUCUUUAUGUUCUUUAUUUGGUGUUUUACAUCUAGGUCCAAAAAUAGGUUGACAUGGUAGAUAGAUAAUUACACAGAUAUUAUACCUAUAAACGAGAUAUGAAAUUCAAGUACAAAAUACAAAAAUAGAAUACCUACAAGUAAGAUACAUUAAGCAUUGAUACAUGUUAAUCAUAAAUAUAAAUCUUUCAUAUAGAUAGAUUAAUACAAUUAACCAGUGAUCUAGAUUGAUUAAAAAAAAUUAUAAAUGGGAUUUGGAACAGAAGAACAAAAAAUAACGAAAAAAAAAGAAAUAAUUAAGGAGAUAAUUACAAGAAAUUAAUUUUUAUAAUAAAUCUUAUCAAUAAAUAAGAUAAUGAAAUAAUCAUAAAUUUAAGAGAUUUGACUUAUUUUAAGAAACUGGAUAAUUUUUAAUAUUGGUUGAAAAAAUUGGACAGACAAAAAUACAAAUGAGUAGCUAAGGAAGGAUAGACAGAUUCAUGUAUGUUUAUUUUGCCGUAAACAAUAUAACGGGAGUAGCGGUGGUUGCGCGCGGGAUCCAAACCGAAAAUGGAAUCCCGAAUUCCAAACCCGGAAAGGACAGAAUUUUGAAGAUUGAAAUCAAAACAAAUUUUCGAGAUUCUCAAAACUUUAUCGGGAUUUUGGUACAGGUCGGGAUAUUUUACAAUAAAUCAUAGAUUUGUGCUCAAUGUUUCAGUGAACAAAUUUAGGGUACGUUCAAUUGGAAAGUUAAGAGAUUUUAAUGAAUUUAUAAAUCUAUAAAUUUUUUAUAGAGUUUAAUUGAUUUGUAGAAAUUUUAUGUAAAAUUUUGAUUCAAUUCCCCCAAAAUCUUAUAGAAAAUCUUAUGGGAAGAGGUGAAAUUUGUGAAUGUUUAAAAUACAUUACAAAAUCUCUCAAAUUCCCUCAAAUUCCUCAAUUUUUUCAAAUUCUAAUUAAAUACACUUAAAAUGUUAUAAACUUAUUUAAAAUUUUAAUUGAAUACACACAGAUUUUUAAGUAUUUUAAUAAACUAUCUUAAAAUAUUAAUUGAAUACACAUUAAAUUUCAAAUAAUCAUCUAACAUCUUCAUUACCCUAAAUUCAUUAAAAAAAUUAAAAUGACUCAAAAUCUCAAUUGCAUACGCUCCUUAUACUUACAGCAGCUAAUAAAUGCUUCCUUAUUAAAAAAAAAUAUUUAGUUUUUCAGGGAAAAGAUUCCCAAAUUCUUGGGUUCAAUAACCCAGAAAUCUUACGGCCCUUGAAUAAAUAUAGUGAGUGAAAGAUCAAAAACUGAAAGAGAAAAAAGAAAAAAGAAAACCAAAUUAAAUAAAACCAGAAAUCCAAAUCCAUAUAUAUUAAAACCCUAGAAAUCUCCAAACCCAGAAAUCCAUACCCUAGAUUUCGGAAGCUCGAGAGCCGGUCGAUCGAGAAGGAGAGAGAAUGGGAGAGAAAGAGAGAGAGAGAGAGCAAUGUUUCAGUGUGUGCGUGUAUGGUUCGUCUGUGGUGUGGUCGAGAUAGGGUAUGGUGGCUGGCCGGAGUCGAGAUUCGAAGAAUGUGGGCGGAGGAGAGCAGAGUCGAGAUUGAGAGGGUUGAGAUGGAGUUGACAGGGUUCGAGAAUGUGCGAGUCUGUGAGAGAAAAGAAUGAUGAGAGACUGAGGCUGGUUUGGUAUCACUGUGUUUGAAAAAAAAACUAAUAAAGUAGCGAAAUGUUUAGCAAUGGUGAAAUAAAGUAGCAGAGUGUUUGGUAAAUCUUUUUGUAAAAGUGCUUUUGAAAAAAAAAGCAGUGUUAUAGUGUUGGGUAAACUUUUAUGUAAAACAGAUAUGAAAAAAAAUCAGUUUUUCAAAGCUGGGUUUUGCAAUUUGGUGUUUUUGGUUUUUUUUUCAUCUAAAACUAUGAAAAAAAGUUGAAGCUGAAUGUUUAACAAACUGUUUGGGCCCAAAAUAAUAGUUUGGGCCGAGGGUAGGAUCAUUCUCGGCCCGGGAGGCCGUGCGGCGAAAGGGCCAUGGAUCGUUCAGCUCGUGGGCUUCCAAGCCUAGGUCGGCUAGGUCAUAACGCAAAACAAGUCGAGUCCUAGUGCAAUGAGGAGUCUCGGCAGGAUUAAUAACCUGGAAGCGAAUCCGGCUCGGUUAAGGACUAGGUUCACAAUCCUAGUGAAAAUAGGACUGGUCGAGUUGGUGUUGAUCCGGAGGGAAUGACCUAGUCCGAGUAGGAUUUUAAUUCGGAUUCAAGGAAAUUCGGUGCUAUAAAUAGGGGAGGCUGUGCACAUUCAAAAGGCCCCUUGCAAAAAUCAAUACAAAAUUGCCCUGCGCAAAUUCUCACAACUUGUGAUUUUUCUUUUUUCCUUUUUCGUUGACACAUCUUCCGUUGGCAUCAACAGCACUGUGGAAGCAACCGAUGAUAUCUUAAGUCGGCAUAGAUAGCUCUGUCACCGUAGAAUCAGUCGGUCUCGCAGUAUCUUCCGUUGGCAUCAACAGCACUGCGGCGAGAACGAUUGAUUACCUAUCCAAGUCUCGGUCGAGAAGGAUUUCUGAAUCCUUGUUGGUCGAGGUCAUCUUAUUAGCCUUCUCAGCGAAGUGAGGUGUUACAAGUGAUUACAUUCGGCACGUUGAAAGCCGAAUUUGAUAUUGAACUUCGUAAAAAUAGUAACCUUGUCUUCAGGUUCGAGAGCCCAAGAGGCCGAGACGUGUUUCUUUCUCGGCCGCAAUCGCAAGACGCAGAAGUCAGCCGCGCACCCAACGCAACAUCAACAAAUUUACUCCUCGACCGAGCUCGGCCGACGAGUUGGCACGCCCCGCAAUCACCGAAGGACGUAGUUAGCUUAUAGAUUACUCGGCAUGCGCGCCACGUAGGCUUUAUAGUUUCUAGGGCCAACACAAAUACAAAAAAAUUCCCAACUUUUUUUUAUAUCUAUGUUUUUUCAUAAUCAUCUCAGUACCAAACCUGUCUUGGAGAAACUUAAGAGAGCACAUAAAUACAAUAGGAAAAUGCAUGAAUUUAACAGAAAAAAAAUGAAGUGAUGAAAGAAAUAUAAUAUAUCUAAAUUACGAGUUAAUGAUUUUUUUUUUGUCAAGUAAAAGAAUGUGAAAAUACAUUUUUGUUUUGUAUUACAACAAAAAAGUUAAGGAUAGUAACGUAAUUUUAUUUAUACCCAUCUAAUCUAUUUCUACACCCAACUUACUCUUUGCACCAAUUUGAUUUUUAACUAAACUAUUAAUAUAUCUUUAAACCCAAAUUUAAUACCAUAUAUAUUCCAAUAAACCCAAUUCAAUAUGUAGAUUUUUUUUACAUGCAUUUGAUUUUUAGAAGCUAAAUUUGAUGUGUUUAGACCUAAGUUCUUUGCAUGGUUUUCCACAACACAAAAGCUGAUAAUCCAAUUGUUACCUGCAGGAACUUAAAGAUGGUUAUUAAGAAGUGGAUCGAUGAACUUAAAGAUCAACCAUGGUCCAGAGAGAAAAAAGCAAAUGAUCAACCUGCUUUUAAAUGGGCAUUAGACAACAAACUCGUUAACAAAAUCCAAGAUCAAUAUUUGUUUCCAUAGAAGCUCUGUAUCAAUGCUCGCAGGAAAUGCUUCCUUAUGAAUUCGUGUGACCUUCGAGCCCGGUGGGUUUUCGUAAUAGACUUGAAAAGGGAAGGAAAUGUGGUUUUCGCUUUAGAACCGCAAGAAAGGAACAUAGAGUUUGACUUCUCUCAGUUGUUUGCUAAUUCAACCAGUUAAUAGGUCCUUUCACACCGGACAUUGUUCAUCGUUGGAUGCUUUCAUUGUAUGUGUUGAAAAAAAUUACAGUAAAUAACUUCUACUAUCUAAAAAAUUGAAAUCAAAUGAACAAAAUAUUCAUAAAUUGAGUUAUACCUUGGUUGGAGGAUUCAAAACUUCAAAAUCACUAUCCAUCAAUAAAAAAACUUAAUUUUCUCUAUAAAAGUUAUUAGGGUUUUAGCCAGAAUAAACGUAGGUAAACAAAGAGUGAUCGUAUGGUUUAAUUAUAGUGUUUGGGUUUAUUGAUAAAUUUGAGUUUUAUUAUUAAUUUCAUUUUGUACUUAAUAGUAAUUAUGUAAUAGGGUAAAAUAGACAAUGAAUAUUUAAAAUUUAAGUUGGGUGUAAAAAGAGGUUAAAUGGGUUUAAAUAAAAUUUCUCAUAAAAUUUUGCUUUUUUUUAUUUAAGCCUCAUUACAAGUGAUUGUAUCAUGUCUAAUUAAAAAAAUAAAAUAAAAUAAACCUCUCCCUCCCUCCCCACUCCACGUUCUCUCUCACUUUCUUCCUCUCUGCUUCAAGUUUAAAAACAAAGUAAAAUAUUUCACACACACUUUGUGUGUGGGCAUGUACUAGUAUAUAUGUAUAAAAGAAGCAUGCAUUUAUUUUUUAAGUUGCAUCUCAUAAAUCAUUUUUAUAAAAUAUUAGCCAAAUCGAAAAUAUUUGAAGCAUCUAAUUGAGUUCAAAGAAAUUAAUGAAUACUUUUUUCUAAAACAUAUUAAAAUUUUAUCGUGAUAAUUAAAUAGACAAACGGUUUUGGGGUGAAUUGAAUUUUACAAGAAUGAUAUAUGAAUUGAAACAUACAAAAUAAAUGAUUCAUAUCAUUGAGGUUCUGACACACCCCGUCCCGAAGGAGGGCAUGCUGGCCAUCACGUGAGAGUGACGUAACCAUUUACACAGUUCGGAAGCUUUUAAAAUACAAUUACUAAAAUGGAAACCCCCGAGGGUGAGUCCUACUUUUGUGAAUUCUGUCAGAACGCCGUUGGGUUCCUCGUGGCCACCAAAGCUCUGCUAACUUGAACCUGGAGGGGCGCAAAACAAAAUUGAGUAGGUCAGUAAAACAAAGUUUCUCGAAAACUUUUCAUUUAAAACAUUUCUAACCCCUCGCUGUAAAACCUGUAUACUUUCCUAGAAAAUAGUAUAUAUAUAAUCAUAUAUAAUCUCAAAUCUCAAAUCACAAGUCUUUAACACUUUUCGAGAAAAAUAUGCCAUGCCAUGCCAAAAUAUAAUAUGAAUGCAUCAAUAUGAAUCAGGUGAAAUAAUAAAUCAACCGGAGACCCUAUAAUGGUCCUGUACGGCUGAUUCUAUAGCUCAAUAUCCCAUCCAGCCGGAGUCACCACAGUGACCUGUACGGCUCAACUCUGCACGUCACUCGGAACUACAUAUAGUAGUCUGUACGAUGACAGGUGUACAAAUACGCUCUAGUGCUUCUCUCAUCAAUCAUCAGCGCGCAUAACUAAGGUCACCCACUAGUUGGAAUCACAUCUAGUGAUCUGUACGGCUAGCAUGUCGGAACCCUCACAUGGUCUGUACGACAUCCACCUACUUGGAUCCAAGACGAGCGUGCGGUGUGGUGAAUAGCAAUAUAAGCACUAACACCUAGGUGCAGGUUAUGAGUUUUCAAUGCAAUUCAUAAUAAAUAACUCAGUUGAUAAAUAAUAACACUCACCUGAGCGUCCACCGCGUCAGUCCACACAUAUAUAUAUAUCAAUUAUCAAACUAGACAUCUCAAUAAUUGCACGCAUGGUAAUUAAUUUCAUAAUUUUCAUAUAAACUAUUUUCUGGGAAAAACAGUUGUAUAUAGGUAAUAUGAAAUCAAAACUGCCCACUCACCUGGAGUUCACCCUACAACUCCCUAGCACAAUACGUCAAGGCGUCAUGACAAUCGGCGCCUAAAACAAUAAUCAAAUCCAACCUCAGAAUUCAUAUCGAUAGAAUAUAUAACUUAUAUAAAAUACGUCACUACGUAGUUUGUUCCGGAAGCUCUGCAACUCAGAUUUUAAAUCCAUAACUUCCAGAGGUCCACAAUAUAUCUCUAGGACAACAUCCUAAAAUUUCAUUACUAUCCAACGGUCGGAUCGUCAAUUCACAUUUUCGCCUAACCACGAAUCGUAACCAACUCAGGUUCAAUUACUCAAUAACCUCUCAUACGGUGCUCAAUUUGGGUAUAUGAAUAUAUCACAGUGGCCUACUCAACGUCACGAAUGUCGACAAAUUUUUAGAAUUAAUUUUGGACCUCCCACGCUCCGGCCAAGGCACGGCAAAACGCACCAGCCACGCGGCCACGUGCGACGGAGCAGUAACGGCGUCAGGAAUAUUCCUUGGAAUAUUCCGUUAAAUUCUAACGGACGCCGUUAAAUCUGACUGACGGCGUGAGAAUAUUCCGUCAGACUUGACGGAAUAUUCUCCCGUUUCCUUCCUCCAGCUCCAGCGACCGUCGCCGGCGCAGGAAACUGGGCAGAGUUUCAAAUCCCUUAUUCUCCUUCGUUUCUCAACCAAAUUUCAUGAAAUUGAUACCAAAAUGAAGCUAAUAACAUGUAGAAUCACGUUAUACAAAUUUUAAAGCUUAAAUUCCACUAGAUUUUUCAUGAGAAAGGUCGAUAGCUCGACUUACCUAUAAACUCGUCGUUCUAAGUCCUCCGACAUCCAAAUCUUUCCAACGAAGUACUCCUAGACUCGUGAGGACUCUCUUAAGCUUCCUACAAGCUUGAAAUUUCCAAAAACACAAGUUUUAACGUUCGCAUGAAUAGUACCCCCAAAUCGGGUAUACUGUUUCAACGCGAAAACGAAGCUAUCCUUACCUGAAAAUGGUAUGGUUGAGUUCGUAGAGUCCUCACAAGCACGAUGGUGCCUUCAAAACCCUCGAUCCAUGAAGUUUCAGGGUUUUAUGGUGUUGGUCCGUACGUUCGAGGGAGAGAGAGACUGAACGGAGAGGAAGAGAGAGAAACACGGGGAAGAGAGAGAGAAGGGUUGACUGGGUGUGUGGUCCAACCAAAACCAUACAUACUAAUUUUAAUCCCUAACCACACAAAAUACAAUCCAAUUUAAUCCAACUUAAAUUAUUUUCUCCAAAAGUUUAGGAAUGUAUAUUUAGUCCAAAUAAUAUAUCAUACACACACAUACCUUAAUACCCGUCAAGGGUAAUUCCGUCUUUUCACAUCCUCGAUGAAUAAAAUUCCUGGACGGGCUGUGAGAAGUACGUCCCUGGCCUGGCUGACUAGGCUGCCUAGAUGAUCAUGCACCACCAGUAGCAACUUCCCCCUGACGGGGCUGACCUCCCUGAUGCCACUAAGAUCCACCAGCUGGCAUAGACGAAUAAGAAUGAUAACCUCCAAAGUCCUGAGAAUACCCUGCCUGAGGAUAAGGCUCAUGGGGAUACUGAUAAGGUUCGGGAGCAUACGGAGCAGCAUCCCCCUGGUAGUGGUAGGCACCACCACGGCCUGACUGGCCAUAACCGCCUGGUCCAAAGUUCUGCUGAAUCGGCGCUGGAGGUGGCAUAGUGGUCUGUUGCGGUCUCUGCUGACCCUGGGGACACUGAGAAGCCCGAUGUCCCAUUUGUCCACAAGUAAAACAAGCACCACCACCUCUCCUACACUCAUCAUGGUGACGAAAGUUACAACAGCGGCACCACGGAGCGCCAGAACCACCAGCACCACCAGAAUCCCUCUGCCUCUGAAAUCUAGGCCCACUAGAAAAUCUACCACCACCUCUCCUCGGGCCAGUAACGCUAUAACCACCACUAGAAGAACUCGAACUCACCCCACUCUUCUUAAAAUUCUGAGUCUUACGAGGUCCCGGAAAAGAGAUACCCUUACCUUUAUCAUCCUUCUUCUGACCGUCAUUCUUGUCCUCGUCAUCCUCACUUUCACUGGGAAGAUUAUCAGAGUCCUCCAUCCUAACCAAAAUCUCGAAAAACUCAUGGUAAUCAGCGCAGGAAAGUGCACUGGCAAAGGUACGCCACUUUUUCUUAGAUCCCAACUUGAAACGUCGAAGUAUCUCUCCCUGAUUACUAGCUGUAUCAGGGUCAUAGCGAGACAAAUCAGUAAACAUUCUGUAGUACUCAUGAGCUGUCAUAUUCUUCUGUUUCAACCGAGUAAAUUCUUGUUUCUUGCGGUCAAUAUACUCUGGGGGGACAAAUCUUUUCUUAAAAUUAUCUUUAAAUACCUCCCAAUCAGAUGUCAUAGCUGGGGACAUAAACUGAGUCUGAUUCCUCCACCAACUUGCCGGCUCUCGACCCAAAAACCAGGUAGUGGUCUCAACCCACCUAUCAGCCGGAAAAUUCCCCUGACUUUGCAUUACCUGAAACGUCUUUUCAAUAUGAUCUAGCCAUUUCUCUGCCCCCUCGUGACCUUCAUCACCCAUAAAAUGAUCUAAUUUCAAAUUGUACAUGGUCUCCAGGGGUGUCCUCUGAGGUGGGGGAGGAGGACGAAUCACAUUCUGAAAAGCCUGAGCCAUUGCUUCCCCCAACUGAAUGAUAUUCGGGAAAUUAGGAUCAGGAGUACGGCGGGACUCCCUACGCUCUCUACGAGGCGGCAUAAUUCUGACAGAAAACAUCAAAAGAUCAUUAAAGCAUUAACAAUUAUACAUGACUGCAACCUAGUCUCUGAUACCAAACUAACACACCUCGAUCCGGAGGAUCCAGGCGUGCUGGCCGUCACGUGAGCGUGACGUAACCAUAAGUGCGACACGGAAGCAAAACAAUAACAUACAUAAGAAGGAAUUCAAACCAAACUCUAGCAGAACAACCUACUAGAAUUACAGGAGGAGCUAAGAUAAACACAUAAAUUCAGAGCAUAGGUUUAGGUGCAGUCAAGUAGGACUAAAAUAAAAGUACAUCACCCUCAGGUGAGUCCUACAUGUCAAGUGUCUGUCAGAAUGCCGGAAAAAGACCUCGAGAGCCACCAACCGCUAACUAGAACCUGGAGGGGCGCAAAACAAAAUGAGUGGGUCAGUAAAACCAAAGAUUUUCCAAAACAUUUCAAAUUAAAACAUUUCUAACCCCUCACCGUAAAAACCUGUAUACUUUCCCAGAAAAUAGUAUAAAAACAUAUAUAUAUAUAUACGCAACAUCGAGACUCGGCUCAUAUCCCAUCAUAACAUCUUAGAAAUGAUAUGCCAUACCCAAAAUAUAAUCAGAAUGCAUCAAUACUAAUCAGGUGAAAUAAAUAAUCAACCGGAGACCCUACAAUGGUCCUGUACGGCUGAUUCUAAAGCUCAACAUCCCACUCAGCCGGAGUCACCACAGUGACCUAUACGGCCCAACUCUGCACAUCACUCGGAACUACAUAUAGUAGUCUGUACGAUGAAAGGUGUAUAAAUACGCUCUAGUACUUCUCUCAUCAAUCAUCAGCGCGCAUAACUAAGGUCACCCACUAGUCGGAAUCACAUCUGGUGAUCUGUACGACUAGCAUGUCGGAACCCUCACAUGGUUUGUACGACAUCCACCUACUUGGAUCCAAGACGAGCGUGCGGUCUGGUGAAUAACAAUAUAAGCACUAACACCUAGGUGCAGGUUAUGAGCUUUCAAUGCAAUACAUAUAAAAUAACUCAUCUGAAUAAUAAUAAAACUCACCUGUGCGUCCACAGCGUCAAUCCACAUAUAUAAGUAUCAAUUAUCAAACUAGAUAUCUCAACAAUUGCAUGCAUGGCAAAUUAAUUCAUAGUUUUCAUAAAAACGCAUUUUCUGGGAAAAACAGUUGUAUAUAGGUAAUACGAAAUCAACACUGCCCACUCACUGAUAAGUCGAUGGGUCGUAACCCCCGUGACAUCCCUGGAUGCGCUCGUCCUCGGGAUAUAUGCGAAACAACUAUAAAAACGUUAAUUUAAACACAUAACCAAUAAUUCGAUUUAACUUCUCAUAUGAUGCUCAAAUUGGGCAUAUGAAUAUACCAUAUCGACCUACUCGACAUCACGGACGUCAAGAAAUUUUUAGAAAAAUUUUUAGGCUUGCCACGCGCCCCCACGCGCCGUGGGUGGCACGGGUCCACGCGCCCCCACGCGCACCUUUUUCCUCAGCCAGUCGCCGGACUGGUUUUUCCGGCGGCCGAUUUCCGGCCAAACUUUGAACGCUUUGUUCUCCUUCGUUUCUCAACCAUUUUCUUCGUAUUUUAUACCAAAAUGAAGCCCCAAACAUGUAGAAUCACGAUAGACUAGUUUAAGGCUCUAAAAAUCAAGAAAUCUCACCGGAAAAAUUCCAAGAAAAUCAGCCAAAGUUGAACCACGUGAUCCCGACGUCCAAAACCUUCAAACGAAGCACUCCGAGCUUCCUUGGGACCUCACUAAGCUCACUACAAGCUUAGAAUUCCCUGAAAAUCAACAUAUUACGUUUGCAUGAACAAUGACAAAAAAUGAAGGUUCGGGUUUCACGUGAUUUUGAGGGUUUCACUUCCUAAAACUAGUACUAUUCAACUCAGAACGUCAAAAGGAUGAAGAACCAUACCUUAAUAGCUUCGAUCCACUGAGUUUUGGAGGGUUUUGGGU
rnacentral:lncRNA from 1 species